UACGUAGGGGGCAAGCGUUGUCCGGAAUCAUUGGGCGUAAAGAGCGUGUAGGCGGCCAGAUAAGUCCGCUGUGAAAUCUCGAGGCUCAACUUCGAGCUGUCGGUGGAAACUGUCUGGCUAGAGUCCGGAAGAGGAGAAUGGAAUUCCUGGUGUAGCGGUGAAAUGCGCAGAUAUCAGGAGGAACACCAGUAGCGAAGGCGGCUCGCUGGGCCGUUCCUGACGCUGAGACGCGAAAGCUAGGGGAGCGAACAGG
rnacentral:rRNA from 1 species